rnacentral:rRNA from 1 species
CCUACGGGAGGCAGCAGUGGGGAAUAUUGGACAAUGGGCGAAAGCCUGAUCCAGCCAUGCCGCGUGUGUGAAGAAGGCCUUCGGGUUGUAAAGCACUUUCAGUGGGGAAGAAAGCCUUGGGGCUAAUACCCUCGAGGAAGGACAUCACCCACAGAAGAAGCACCGGCUAACUCCGUGCCAGCAGCCGCGGUAAUACGGAGGGUGCGAGCGUUAAUCGGAAUUACUGGGCGUAAAGCGCGCGUAGGCGGUCUGAUAAGCCGGUUGUGAAAGCCCCGGGCUCAACCUGGGAACGGCAUCCGGAACUGUCAGGCUAGAGUGCAGGAGAGGAAGGUAGAAUUCCCGGUGUAGCGGUGAAAUGCGUAGAGAUCGGGAGGAAUACCAGUGGCGAAGGCGGCCUUCUGGACUGACACUGACGCUGAGGUGCGAAAGCGUGGGUAGCAAACAGGAUUAGAUACCCCGUGUAGUC